rnacentral:rRNA from 1 species
GGCGGCAUGCCUUACACAUGCAAGUCGAACGGUAACAGGUCUUCGGAUGCUGACGAGUGGCGAACGGGUGAGUAAUACAUCGGAACGUGCCCGAUCGUGGGGGAUAACGAGGCGAAAGCUUUGCUAAUACCGCAUAAGAUCUAUGGAUGAAAGCAGGGGACCGCAAGGCCUUGCGCGAACGGAGCGGCCGAUGGCAGAUUAGGUAGUUGGUGGGGUAAAGGCUUACCAAGCCUACGAUCUGUAGCUGGUCUGAGAGGACGACCAGCCACACUGGGACUGAGACACGGCCCAGACUCCUACGGGAGGCAGCAGUGGGGAAUUUUGGACAAUGGGCGCAAGCCUGAUCCAGCCAUGCCGCGUGCAGGAUGAAGGCCUUCGGGUUGUAAACUGCUUUUGUACGGAACGAAAAGCCUUCUUCUAAUAAAGGGAGGUCAUGACGGUACCGUAAGAAUAAGCACCGGCUAACUACGUGCCAGCAGCCGCGGUAAUACGUAGGGUGCAAGCGUUAAUCGGAAUUACUGGGCGUAAAGCGUGCGCAGGCGGUGAUGUAAGACAGAUGUGAAAUCCCCGGGCUCAACCUGGGAACUGCAUUUGUGACUGCAUCGCUGGAGUACGGCAGAGGGGGAUGGAAUUCCGCGUGUAGCAGUGAAAUGCGUAGAUAUGCGGAGGAACACCGAUGGCGAAGGCAAUCCCCUGGGCCUGUACUGACGCUCAUGCACGAAAGCGUGGGGAGCAAACAGGAUUAGAUACCCUGGUAGUCCACGCCCUAAACGAUGUCAACUGGUUGUUGGGUCUUCACUGACUCAGUAA